rnacentral:misc_RNA from 1 species
UCGUAACAGAGACGUGAGAGGCGCUCCAAGGCUGUCGUCGGAAGGGUGCCCUCUUGCGUGAAAUCCAUCUCACCCCUUUUGUGCACCACCGCGUGGGCUUUCCUCCUCGAGGCGGCUCGCGUUUUUCACACAAACCCCCUUUGUAAACGUCCAUAGAAUGUCCUCAUUUGGUUUGCGUUGACACGCGAUCAAUA